rnacentral:rRNA from 1 species
GACGAACGCUGGCGGCGCGCUUAACACAUGCAAGUCGAACGCUGUAGCUCAGCUUUUGUUGGGUGGAUGAGUGGCGAACGGGUGAGUAACACGUGAGUAACCUGCCUCCUUCUUUGGGAUAACGCCCGGAAACGGGUGCUAAUACUGGAUAUUCACUGGUCUUCGCAUGGGGGGUGGUGGAAAGGGCUUUUCUGGUGGGGGAUGGGCUCGCGGCCUAUCAGCUUGUUGGUGGGGUGAUGGCCUACCAAGGCUUUGACGGGUAGCCGGCCUGAGGGGGUGACCUGUCACAGUGGGACGGAGAUACGGCCCAGACUCCUACGGGGGGCAGCAGUGGGGACUAUGGCACAAUGGGCGCAAGACUGAUGCAGCGACGCCGCGUGAGGGAUGGAGGCCUUCGGGUUGUGACCCUCUUUCGCUCAUGAGCAAGCCGCAACAAUGGUUGUAGUGAGGGUAGUGGGUAAAGAAGCGCCGGCUAACUACGUG